CACGUAGGGCGCGAGCGUUGUCCGGAAUUAUUGGGCGUAAAGAGCUCGUAGGCGGCCUGUUGCGUCCGCUGUGAAAGCCCGGGGCUUAACCCCGGGUCGGCAGUGGAUACGGGCAGGCUAGAGGUAGGUAGGGGAGAAUGGAAUUCCCGGUGUAGCGGUGAAAUGCGCAGAUAUCGGGAGGAACACCGGUGGCGAAGGCGGUUCUCUGGGCCUUACCUGACGCUGAGACGCGAAAGCGUGGGUAGCAAACAGG
rnacentral:rRNA from 1 species